AUAGGCAUUUUUAUAUGACCGCAAAAAAAUUUUUGUGGUCGUAUAUUGGUAUGACGUCGUCGUCGUCGUCCGGCGUCCUCCGGCGUCGUCCGAAGACACAUUGGUUUUCGCACUCUAACUUUAGUUUAAGUGAAUGGAUCUCUAUGAAAUUUUACCACAAGGUUCAAUACCACAAAAGGAAGGUUGGGAUUGAUUUUGGGGGUUUUGGUACCAACAGUAAAGGAAUUAAGGGCCAAAAAGGGGCCAAAAAUAAGCAUUUUUGUAACUUCCAGACAUAACUUGUGUGUUAGUGUAUGGAUCUCUCUGACAUUGUACCACAAGGUUCCAUAUCACAAAUGGAAUGCUGGGAUUGAUUUUGGGGGUAAUUGUUGCAAAAUUUUAGGAAUUAGGGGCCAAAAAAGGGGCAAAAAACAAGCAUUUUUCUAGUUUCAUGAUAAUAACUUGUGUGUAAGUAUAUGGAUUUUUCUGAAAUUGAACUACAAGGUUCCAUAUCACAAAGGGAAAGCUGGAAUUGAGUUUGGGGGUAAUUGCCCAAAACGUUUAGGAAUAAGGGGCCAAAAAGGGGCCAAAAAUAAGCAUUUUUCUAGUUUCCAGACAAUAACUUGUGUUCAAGUGUAUGGAUCUCUCUGAAAUUGUACUGCAAGGUACCAUCCCACAAAGGGAAUGCUGGGAUUGAUUUUGGGGGUAAUUGCCUCAAAAUUUUAGGAAUUAGGGGCCAAAAAGGGGCAAAAAACAAGCAUUUUUCUAGUUUCAGGACAAUAACUUGUGUGUAAGUGUAUGGAUCUUUAUGAAAUUGUACUACAAGGUUCCAUAUCACAAAAGGAAAGCUGGGUUUGAGUUUGGGGGUAAUUACCCUUAACGUUUAGGAAUUUGGGGCCAAAAAGGGGCCUAAAAACAAGCAUUUUUCUAGUUUCCAGACAAUAACUUGUGUUCAAGUGUAUGGAUCUCUCUGAAAUUGUACUGCAAGGUACCAUACCACAAAGGGAAGGCUGGGAUUGAGUUUGGGGGUGAUGAAUCAUAAGGGGGUUCAAAAAAUUUAGUGGAGGGAUUUUUUUUUUCUUUAAAAUUUUCCAUUUUAAAUUGGUUAUUU